UAUUCUCAAAAAACCUAACUGUUUUCUGAAUGGCUAGGCUUUUUGGAUGUGAGGGAUUGCUGGCUUUCGAGUCCGGCUCCCUUCAAAUGCAUUAGUGAUUGCUUCAUUCACUUAGAGUGUGAUAGUAUAUCUACGCCUGUUACAGUGAACUGAUACAAAUCAUCCGCUUUCCAACUGUCUUGAUUUGAAACAUAACAGACAUUUUGACU
rnacentral:misc_RNA from 1 species